rnacentral:lncRNA from 1 species
CGGUCAUGUUUCCGGUCACCUUGCCCUGAUUAAAAGCAGUGGUUUGCGUGUUCAGUUUUGCGCGAAUGCUGCCAUCAAUCCACGGUUUCUGGUUGGGGAAUGUUGUAAUAGACGCUGUGGGUACGACAUCGCUGAUGCACUUGCUAAUAAACUCGCUCACUGAAUCAGCGUAUUCGUCAAUGUUUUUUGUCCGACACUAUGCGGAACAUAUCCCAGUCCACGUGAUCGAAGCAAUCUUGACGCGUGGAAUCCGAUUGGUCGGACCAGCGUUGAACAGACCUGAGCGCGGGUGCUUCCUGUUUUAGUUUCUGUCUAUAGGCUGGGAGCAACAAAAUGGAGUCGUGGUCAGCUUUUCCGAAAGGAGGGCGGGAGAGAGCCUUAUAUGCAUCGUGGAAGUUAGAAUAACAGUGGUCUAGGGUUUUGCCCGCCCUGGUAGCACAACCGAUAUGCUGAUAGAAUUUGGGAUCCUUGUUUUCAGAUUAGCCUUGUUAAAAUCCCCUGCUACAAUAAAUGCAGCCUCAGGAUAUGUGGUUUCCAGUUUACAUAGAGUCAAAUGAAGUUCUUUCAGGGCCGUCGAUGUGUCUGCUUGGGGGGGAUGUACAUGACUGUGAUUAUGAUCGAAGAUAAUUCUCUUGGUAGAUAAUGCGGUCGGCAUUUGAUAGUGAGGAAUUCUAAGUCAGGUGAACAAAAGGACUUGAGUUCCUGUAUGUUGUUAUGAUCACACCACGUCUCGUUAAUCAUAAGGCAUACACCUCCGCCCUUCUUCUUACCAGAGAGAUGCUUGUUUCUGUCGGCGCGAUGCGUGAAGAAACCAGGUGGCUGUACCGACUCAGAUGGCGUGUCUCGAGUGAGCCAUGUUUCCGUGAAACAAAGAACGUUACAGUCUCGGAUGUCUCUCUGGAAGGCAACUCUUGCUCGGAUUUCGUCUACCUUGUUGUCAAGAGACUGGACAUUGGCGAGUAGUAUGCUCGGGAGCGGUGGGCGAUGCGCCCGUCCACGGAGCCUGACCAGAAGACCGCUCCGUCUGCCCCUUCUACGACGUCGUUGUUUUGGGUCGCCGGCUGGGAUCCGAUCCAUUGUCCUGGGAAGUGGUCCAAACAGAGGAUCCGCUUCGGGAAAGACGUAUUCCUGGUCCUAAUGUUGAUUCGUCGUGAAGUCCUAAAUUCUUUAGGGUUUCUGUGGCUAAGUCAAAGAAGGAGUGACAGGGAAAGGUAUGCAGUUUUUUAAAUUGAUUUUAUUUCAUUGAUUGAAAUUAGCAGUGUUGAGAAUUUAGCAGAUGAUGAAAACAGCUUUGCGACAAACAUGAGCAUUGCCAAAAAGCAGAGCAGUUCUCAAAUCAAAUCAAAUUUAUUUUUAUAUAGCCCUUCGUACAUCAGCUGAUAUUCUCAAAGUGCUGUACAGAAACCCAGCCUAAAACCCCAAACAGCAAGCAAAGCAUGUGAAAGAAGCACGGUGGCUAGGAAAAACUCCCUAGGAAAAAAACCUAGAGAAGAAACCUAGAAAGGCCAAAAACCUAGGAAGAAACCUAGAGAGGAACCAGGCUAUGAGGGGUGGCCAGUCCUCUUCUGUCUGUGCAGGGUGGAUAUUAUAACAGAACAUGGUCAAGAUGUUAAAAUGUUAAAAUGUUCAUAAAUGACCAGCAUGGUCAAAUAAUAAUAAUCAUAGUAGUUGUCGAGGGUGCAACAAGCACGUCCGGUGAACAGGUCAGGGUUCCAUAGCCGCAGGCAGAACAGUUGAAACUGGAGCAGCAGCACGGCCAGGUGGACUGGGGACAGCAAGGAGUCAUCAUACCAGGUAGUCCUGAGGCAUGGUCCUAGGGCUCAGGUCCUCCGAGAGAAAGACAGAAAGAGAGAAAGGGAGAAUUAGAGAGAGCAUAUUUAAAUACACACAGGACACCGGAUAAGACAAGAGAAAUACUCCAGAUGUAACAGACUGACCCUAGCCCCCCGACACAUAAACUACUGCAGCAUAAAUACUGGAGGCUGAGACAGGAGGGAUCAGAAGACACUGUGGCCCCAUCCGAUGAUACCCCGGACAGGGCCAAACAGGCAGGAUAUAACCCCACCCACUUUGCCAAAGCACAGCCCCCACACCACUAGAGGGAUGUCUCCAACCAC